AUGAGGAAAGCUACAUGGUUACCUUUGGAUUACCUUUGUCCAAAAUGUUCAGCUUUUCACUUCAGAACACAUGAAUAUGCAAAAAUCUGCACUGUUCAGGAAGAUGGUGGAGGAGUAAAUAAAAAAAUACAAGCUUAUCUUGGAGCAUCAAGUGUUCAUGUCUCUUUCUUUUCAGAAAAUCUGUGUUAAUGGUCCUAAAAGAAUGUUGAAUGGGAUAUAGUUCUAAAUCAGUGAGAGGUGUUAUUAUCUGUACCACCAUUUAGCAUUAACAGUUCAUCAGCAUGCACUUUUCCUAGCCCAAGAUACCAAUAUUCAUAGCACUGGAUAGAUUUAAGUUUUAUCUUCACGAGCUUGUCACUGAGAUUCAAGUACAGUUUAUACUCCUGGAAAAUACUACCUAAUGUUCUAAUUAUGUAUGUCUAAUUCAUUUGAACUCUGAAAUUUCAAAAUCCCCUGUGCAUAGUUUUUCCAUAUGAUUGCCCACAUCAAGAUUACACAGGCUAAAGGAGGAAUAAUUAGCAAAAUGGGAAGCUAGAUUUGGGGCUCAUAUCAUUUUCCAUGCUAAUCACUUAUCUUGAGGGCCCAUUCUAGGAAGCUGUCAGGAAGUAGAUUUUCAACAUAUAUAUACCUGGAUAUGAGGCUUUGCCAGUGCUCUUAGAGGAAGUGAACAGCAGCUGUGAUCCCAGGAAAUCCCACCUCAGUGAUAUGGGGAAACAGCAAUUCCUCCUAUCUACAAAGAGACUCUCACCUGAGAUUGUCCAGGGGCUGAUUCAUUGUGUCUAUUUUCUAUCUCAUGAAAGAAAAAGGCAACUAAGGAACAUACUCCCAUUUUAUAGAUAGGCGUACUAAAGUUAUUUGUCCCAACUUGUAGAUUGGGGUCAAUAAUGUAACCUAAUUCUAAAUUUAUCCUGCAGGUAAUUUAACAACUUAAGAGAUCAGGUAGGACUAUACAUUCAAAUAGAAAAAUAUAUAUUUACAGUGGCAGCGAAAUGCACAUAGGGCCCCCUUGCUUUUCCAGUGUCUCACCUCCCAAGCAAGUAUCUGGCUAAUAAUUAGCUUUCAUCUUUUUCUAUGGAGACAGAUUUAUUUCAUCAGAAGAUUACUGGAGAGACUUGGGACCAGGUCUGAGAAGAUGGACUGGGUCAGUUGGAUUCUUUUGGGAAAUUGAACAAGUUGAGUUGAGGAGGUG
rnacentral:lncRNA from 13 species